UAAUGUUCCAGGUAUCCAGUCUAUCAGACAGUAUUAUAUUAUAAUGUUCCAGGUAUCCAGUCUAUCAGACAGUAUUAUAUUAUAAUGUUCCAGGUAUCCAGUCUAUCAGACAGUAUUAUAAUGUUCCAGGUAUCCAGUCUAUCAGACAGUAUUAUAAUGUUCCAGGUAUCCAGUCUAUCAGACAGUAUUAUAAUGUUCCAGGUAUCCAGUCUAUCAGACAGUAUUAUAAUGUUCCAGGUAUCCAGUCUAUCAGACAGUAUUAUAAUGUUCCAGGUAUCCAGUCUAUCAGACAGUAUUAUAAUGUUCCAGGUAUCCAGUCUAUCAGACAGUAUUAUAAUGUUCCAGGUAUCCAGUCUAUCAGACAGUAUUAUAUUAUAAUGUUCCAGGUAUCCAGUCUAUCAGACAGUAUUAUAAUGUUCCAGGUAUCCAGUCUAUCAGACAGUAUUAUAAUGUUCCAGGUAUCCAGUCUAUCAGACAGUAUUAUAUUAUAAUGUUCCAGGUAUCCAGUCUAUCAGACAGUAUUAUAUUAUAAUGUUCCAGGUAUCCAGUCUAUCAGACAGUAUUAUAUUAUCAUGUUCCAGGUAGAGUUCCUCUGUCCAGUCUCAACGUCAACAGUGAAGAGGAGACUCCGGGAUGCUGGCCUUCUAGGCAGAGUUCCUCUGUCCAGUCUCAACGUCAACAGUGAAGAGGAGACUCCUGGAUGCUGGCCUUCUAGGCAGAGUUCCUCUGUCCAGUCUCAACGUCAACAGUGAAGAGGAGACUCCGGGAUGCUGGCCUUCUCGGCAGAGUUCCUCUGUCCAGUCUCAACGUCAACAGUGAAGAGGAGACUCCGGGAUGCUGGCCUUCUAGGCAGAGUUCCUCUGUCCAGUCUCAACAUUAACAGUGAAGAGGAGACUCCGGGAUGCUGGCCUUCUAGGCAGAGUUCCUCUGUCCAGUCUCAAUGUCAACAGUG